CGAAGCCAUUGCUAUGGGGUCCGACUAAGCCAUGCGAGUCAUGGGGGUGUCCCUUCUGGGACACCACCGGCGGACGGCUCAGUAACACGUCGGUAACCUACCCUCGGGAGGGGGAUAACCCCGGGAAACUGGGGCUAAUCCCCCAUAGGUGUGGGGUACUGGAAGGUCCCCACACCGAAAGGGGCUUCGUGCCCGCCCGAGGAUGGGCCGGCGGCCGAUUAGGUAGUUGGUGGGGUAACGGCCCACCAAGCCGAAGAUCGGUACGGGCCAUGAGAGUGGGAGCCCGGAGAUGGACACUGAGACACGGGUCCAGGCCCUACGGGGCGCAGCAGGCGCGAAACCUCCGCAAUGCGGGAAACCGCGACGGGGGGACCCCCAGUGCCGUGGCAACGCCACGGCUUUUCCGGAGUGUAAAAAGCUCCGGGAAUAAGGGCUGGGCAAGGCCGGUGGCAGCCGCCGCGGUAAUACCGGCGGCCCGAGUGGUGGCCGCUAUUAUUGGGCCUAAAGCGUCCGUAGCCGGGCCCGUAAGUCCCUGGCGAAAUCCCACGGCUCAACCGUGGGGCUUGCUGGGGAUACUGCGGGCCUUGGGACCGGGAGAGGCGGGGGGUACCCCUGGGGUAGGGGUGAAAUCCUAUAAUCCCAGGGGGACCGCCAGUGGCGAAGGCGCCCCGCUGGAACGGGUCCGACGGUGAGGGACGAAGGCCAGGGGAGCGAACCGGAUUAGAUACCCGGGUAGUCCUGGCUGUAAAGGAUGCGGGCUAGGUGUCGGGCGAGCUCCGAGCUCGCCCGGUGCCGUAGGGAAGCCGUUAAGCCCGCCGCCUGGGGAGUACGGCCGCAAGGCUGAAACUUAAAGGAAUUGGCGGGGGAGCACUACAAGGGUG
rnacentral:rRNA from 1 species